AAUGAACGUUGGCGGCGUGGAUUAGGCAUGCAAGUCGUGCGAGAACCGUAGCAAUAUGGGGACAGCGGCGAAAGGGAGAGGAAUACGUGGAUACCUACCCUCAGGUUCAGGAUAGCCAUGGGAAACUAUGGGUAAUACUGAAUAAUAUCUCAGGAUCAAAGGUGUGAUUCCGCCUGGGGAUCGGCCCGCGUCCUAUCAGCUAGUUGGCGAGGUAAUGGCUCACCAAGGCUAUGACGGGUACUGGGUGUGAGAGCACGACCCAGCUCACUGGGACUGAGAUACUGCCCAGACACCUACGGGUGGCUGCAGUCGAGAAUCUUCGGCAAUGGGCGAAAGCCUGACCGAGCGACGCCGCGUGCGGGAUGAAGGCCUUCGGGUUGUAAACCGCUGUCGUAGUGGAGGAAAUAUCAGGGGGUUCUCCCCUUGGUUUGACUGAUACUAGGAGGAAGGGUGGGCUAAGCUCGUGCCAGCAGCCGCAGUAAAAC
rnacentral:rRNA from 1 species